rnacentral:lncRNA from 1 species
CACGUUAUCUAAAUUCAAUCCCUAAUAUGCAUCAAUUAGGCAUCCCAAACCCAGGCCGAGUCAAACUAUGUGCUUAGACUCUCUAGUUUGUGUGUUGCAUUUGAGGAUCUGACUAAAUACCUACUUUUGUUUGUGCAUGGAUCGUCUAUGGGUGUUUGAGCAAGAUUGGCAUGAUUGGUCGGACAUGAUUACCUCGUAUGUAUCACCUUGUUUAAUUGCCCACUGCUGAUUAGUGCAUGAACUAUGGG